UCUGCUCAAUGAUUUUUUAAAUUGCUGUGGUAUUUUGACUAUACAAAGGUAUUGAAAUAAGAUUUUAAUUGAAUGCUAAGAGAAUGGAAUUUCAGAAAAAAACUUUUUUCAAGUUAAAAAUUGAAAUUUUUUUAAUUUGUGCAGAAACAAUUAUUAAUAUUAAGGACAAGAAGACCCUAUGAAUUUAUAAAUUUUAUUUAAUAUGUAACUACUAUUGAAAAAAUUUUAGCUGGGGCGGCGGAAAAAUAUUUAAAACUUUUUUAAAAUAAAAUGACCCAUUAUUAAUGAUUAUAUGUUAAAUACUCUAGGGAUAACAGCGU
rnacentral:rRNA from 1 species